CUCCAAGUUCCUACGGGAUGAGUCCACGGUAGUACAAGGCGCUGAGUCACCUGGAGAGGAGGGGGUGUGUCCACACAGCCUCCAGUCCAGGGACAACACCCCCUCACUGGCCAUCCCCACACCUCCUCCUCCUAAAUGGAGAGACUAGGCCCCGGAUGCCCCCAUGUUGGGUGGGAGGGAGAGGCAGGAGAGGGAACCCAGGAGGCCUCAUGCCCCAGGACCCACCCAUAUGCUCGUUCUCUCUGGAAACUUCCAUCGUGCCAUAUGACCACAGGCGUGUGCUGUAAUACCAAUUAUCACCCCUGUUAAAUGUAGACUGCGGGCUGGAUCCUUUCUGUUAAUUCUCUCAGCAAUCCUAUAAAGUAGGUGCUAUUAUGUCUCCCAUUAUGCAGAUGAAGAAUUAUCCCAGAGAGGUUAAGUAAUUUGCCCCAGGUCACAUAGCCACCAAGCUGAGCAGGGAUUCGGACCAGUGCUCUCCCCCUAGGGUUUCUCUUUGGUCUUCUGACUCUCCAUCUCUCCUGUCUCCACCUUCUUCUUGUUCUUUCUCUAGGUCCCUGCUCUAUUUUUUCUGUCUGCCCAUUUUUCCCUUUGGGCCUUAUCGUUUCCAGGAGCCUCUGUGCCUCAGCCUGUGUUUUCGUGUCUGCCGGCGUCUGUCUGUUUUGAUAUUCAUGUCUCUAUAUCUCUGUCUGUCUUUCUCCUUCCUUGUCUUCUCGUCCUCCUCCUGCUGGCUUCUCCCAGACAGGUUAUGUGCCAGGAGUGGAGCCAACACCCCCCCACCCCGCCAGAGCCCCACACGCACCUGGGGGCCUCUUUCUCAAGGUUUCCAAGGCUAGUCAGAGGAGAGACCAGGGAGCACAGCAGUGGAGGCCCUGCCUGGCCUCGCCCCCCCCCACCCCCCCACCCCCCCUGCAGCGUGGGGUUGUGGGGGAGGCAGACAGCAGCCCAGAGACCUCUAUCUCUAUCCAGGUUUCCGAUUGGUGGAUGGGGCUGCCUGAAGAGAGAGUUUCCUCUCCUGGGAAAGUCUGAUAGAGAAUGGCGGGGGGAGUGGAAAAACAGAUGCCAACCCUCGGCUUCACCUCCCAGUGAAGAGAGGAAGACAGAGAAGCAAGCCUGGCCGGCCAGCCCAGUUCCUAGGCAGCAGGGAGGGUAGCCCCAACUGCAGUGGCAAGUAUGAUGGGUAGACACUGGGAGACCUCAGAAGUGGAAGAAGCAGCAGCAGGGGACAGAUGACAGGAGGCAGGAGAGCUGCCCUCACAGCCUGGCUCACAUGUGCACACACACAGCCCUUUAGGUGUAGCGCUUCGUUUAAUCCUUAACUCGAGAUUGGUUCCAUUCACGGAAUGAGAUGGAUGUCUCGCGUGGGUACAAGCAGGAUUUGAACCCA
rnacentral:lncRNA from 1 species